rnacentral:rRNA from 1 species
GACGGGGGAUGCAAGUGUUAUCCGGAAUAAUUGGGCGUAAAGCGUCUGUAGGUGGUUUACCAAGUCUGUUGUUAAAAAUCAGGGCUUAACCCUGAUCCGGCAACAGAAACUAGUAGGCUGGAGUACGGUAGGGGCAGAGGGAAUUCUCGGUGUAGUGGUGAAAUACGUAGAUAUCGAGAAGAACACCAAUAGCGAAAGCACUCUGCUGGGCCGAAACUGACAUUGAGAGACGAAAGCUAGGGUAGCAAAUGGG